rnacentral:rRNA from 1 species
AUUGAACGCUGGCGGCAUGCCUUACACAUGCAAGUCGAACGGCAGCACGGGGGCAACCCUGGUGGCGAGUGGCGAACGGGUGAGUAACAUAUCGGAACGUGCCCUGGAGUGGGGGAUAACUAGUCGAAAGACUAGCUAAUACCGCAUACGAUCUACGGAUGAAAGUGGGGGAUCGCAAGACCUCAUGCUCGUGGAGCGGC